rnacentral:rRNA from 1 species
GUUUAUCAAAAACAUCUCCUUUUAGAGACAAAAGGUAGGCCCUGCUCAGUGAAAUUUAACAGCCGCAGUAUCCUAACUGUGCUAAGGUAGCAUAAUAACUUGUCUUAUAAUUGAAGACUAGAACGAAAGAGUUGACGAUACUGCUUCUAUCUUUUUAUAACAUAUAAAACUUAACAUUUACAUCAAAAGAUGUAAAUUCUUAAAAAGACGAUAAGACCCUAUAAAACUUAACUAUCAAAUGAUUAUUCCUGAUUUAACAACUUAAUUUACUAUAUUUCAAAUAGUUUAGCUGGGGCGGCAUCUAUAACUCUUUAGAAAAACUAACAAUUAUUCUUGAUAUUUAAGAUCUUAAAAAAAAAAUUAGAACAAGUUACUUUAGGGAUAACAGCAUAAUUUCUUCCUAGAGACCUUAUUGAAGAAGAAGACUUAUGACCUCGAUGUUGAAUUGAGAAGCUCUUUCUAAGCAAAAAUAGAUAAGAGAGGUCUGUUCGACCUUUAAUCUCUCACGUGAUCUGAGUUCAAA